rnacentral:lncRNA from 1 species
GGGCUCUAUGGGGGUCUAUGGGGUCUCCAUGAGGCUCUAUGGGGUCCCUAUGGGGAUCUAUGAGGGUCUAUGGGGUCACCAUGGGGGUCUAUGGGGGUCUAUGGGGGCUCCAUGGGGCUCCAUGGGGUGUCUAUGGGGGUCUAUGAGGGACUAUGGGGUCUCCAUGGGGGUCUAUGGGGGUCUAUGGGGGUCUAUGGGGACUCUAUGGGGGUCUAUGAGGACUCUAUGGGGGUCUAUGGGGUCUCUAUGGGGCUCUAUGGGGUCCCUAUGGGUCCCUAUGUCCCACCACCGCCAAUGGGGCGCCCAUCCCCGGCCCUACAAGUGGGGGGGGGAAAGGGGGGGGGAGAUAUGGGGUCUAUGGGGCUCUAUGGGGGUCUAUGGGGGUCUAUGGGGGCUCUAUGGGGCUCUAUGGGGCCUCUAUGGGAGUCUAUGGGGGUCUACGAGGCUCUAUGAGGGCUCUAUGGGGCUCUACAGGGAUCUAUGGGGACUCUAUGGGGGUCUAUGGGGUCCCUAUGGGGGUCUAUGGGGUCCCUAUGGGGAG